AUUUUCAUUUGAAAAGCAGAAUAGUCCUUAAUUAUUUGAUGAGAAUCCUUAAUGUUCAUUCUCUUGUUGUUUAUUUUUUUUCCUUAGACGUCAACAAUCCGGGUAACUCUUGAAGUAUAUUGCAGAGUAGCACCAUUUCAUAUAGGGUGGGGCUGGGAAAGAAGAGCCAAGAUUGCCGGAGUGGUAGAGACGGCCAGAAACAGGCGGGUGUCCUGCAGGAGCAACACGUUGUUCGGUUACUGCCCGUCCUUCGAAAUGUCAUAGAGUCUUAAAAUAUGUGAGUUUGGUCACCGGGAGUUUUUCCUUAAAACCCUCACCUUAUUUCGCUAGUUUAUCUCACCAAAUAGCAUGUAUUUUCCAUGACAGGAAGCAGUUCAAAACAGUCACACAGGUGCCACAGGCCUUCCACAUUGAAAGGUCAGGAACACAAGUUAGAGGCACUGGCAUCCGAAUCAUCACCCGCUGGCGGCUUUGCGAAGGUAAAAUGUAAAUGCUUCCUUUGAACUCCAGCGGGCUCUCUUGGUGGGACCGGGGGGCGGGGGGGGGGUGUUUUUAGGGAGAUGUAUACAGACAUUCUGAACAGAGGGGUAAGGUCUGGUUUUAGGAGAAAAGAGGAAUUUUACGAUGAAUGAUUCUUUACCAUCUCCGAGGAGGAACUGUGAAAAAAACUAGCCAGGUGAUGAAGUAGAAGAGCGAAUAGUAUUAACGACUCCCUCUGUGUCCUGCCAGCUGAAGAACGCCGCGCCUGUCGCAGGAGAUGAUGAAGGAAGACGAGCCACAGACCAGCCUUCUUGCUUGGCCAGAAGCGAAACCUUGUGAAAGUGACCCAGAGAGGCCCCGUGGUUGGCCCGGCCCCGGCUCCCUGGCCUCGGGUGGGCCUGCGGAGGGUCCAGCAAGUGGUCCAGCAGGAGGCCCAGGAGGAUGUCCAGCAGGUGGCCCCGCAGGUCCUCUCCACAGCCUGCGUGAACCUGCAACGAGUAGAACUGAGGAAACCAAACUUACUUGGUUUCAGUCCUGCCUUCGCCGAGGGCCUCACACGGGCAGACUAAAAUGUGAUUUCGUCUCGGUUUGCUGUUCGGAGGGGAAGGAUGGCUGGGUGCUCUCCCCCGGGGUGCGCUCCUGGAGCCCGAGGCCUGGGGAAGCUGGUUCUUUCCGUUUGUGGAGUCGGGGUGGGGGGGGACACGGAAGCCCUGGGUGACUCUGAGGCUUGGGCAAGGCAUUCCGUGAGCUUCCGUGUCCCCCAAAGGGUCGAUGAUGGGAUAAGGAGCCCACGGGGCUGCUGCCCGAGCCAGAGAAGGUAAUCCUAACAACCACCCAAAUGUAUCAUCUUGGAAUAAAUUUCUAAGGAGUAAUUGUGCA
rnacentral:lncRNA from 1 species